rnacentral:siRNA from 1 species
CCAUUAGAGAGGAUGACUUAUCAU